UUGAACGCUGGCGGCAGGCCUAACACAUGCAAGUCGAACGGUAACAGGAAGAAGCUUGCUUCUUUGCUGACGAGUGGCGGACGGGUGAGUAAUGUCUGGGAAACUGCCUGAUGGAGGGGGAUAACUACUGGAAACGGUAGCUAAUACCGCAUAACGUCGCAAAACCAAAGAGGGGGACCUUCGGGCCUCUUGCCAUCGGAUGUGCCCAGAUGGGAUUAGCUAGUAGGUGGGGUAACGGCUCACCUAGGCGACGAUCCCUAGCUGGUCUGAGAGGAUGACCAGCCACACUGGAACUGAGACACGGUCCAGACUCCUACGGGAGGCAGCAGUGGGGAAUAUUGCACAAUGGGCGCAAGCCUGAUGCAGCCAUGCCGCGUGUAUGAAGAAGGCCUUCGGGUUGUAAA
rnacentral:rRNA from 1 species